rnacentral:rRNA from 1 species
UGCCAGCAGCCGCGGUAAUACGGAGGGCGCAAGCGUUGUUCGGAAUUAUUGGGCGUAAAGCGCGUGUAGGCGGUUCGUUAAGUCUGAUGUGAAAGCCCGGGGCUCAACCCCGGAAGUGCAUUGGAAACUGGCGAACUUGAGUACGGGAGAGGAAAGUGGAAUUCCGAGUGUAGGGGUGAAAUACGUAGAUAUCUGGAAGAACACCAGAGGCGAAGGCGGUCUCUUGGUCCAUAAUUGACGCUGAGGCGCGAAAGCGUGGGGAGCGAACAGGAUUAGAUA